CGGGGCCGCAGCCACAGCCCCUCCGCUGUGGGCACAGCGCCCGCAGGCCCGGCCGGCAGCCCGCCGGCCGAGAGGCAGACAGCAAGGCACGGAAGGGUUAAAAUGAGGCGGCUGCUGCUGCUCUGGGGGUUGGGUUUCUAAAAGCACCGAAUACCGGGCAGGCAUUAAAAUAGGAAAGAAAUAUGUUCACUUGUUCAGAAGAUAUGCAAAGAGAAAUAAUGCAAGAGCUUCUAACAUUGCUAGGACUUUCACUAAUCCUGUAUUUUGAAUACUUACCUGGAAGAUUUCUUUGAGAUUUCAAAGCUAAAUUGUACUCAGGCUUCCAUACAACCAAGCAUCAUCAUCAAUAUCUGGGUGAGAUAGCUUACACACAGUGUGAAAGGAAAAGCACCUGAAGAGCUUUGGUGGCUGAAUGUAGAAAAGCCAGACCUUCAAGCACAUGCACUUGAGGAGUGCUGCUUCACAGAAAAGCAAUAUUCCCAAAGGGGAAAAAAGCCAGAAAACUGGCCUUUGAAAUUCUCUGGAUAUUUUAAGUUUACUUAUAAAGCUUUAUAAACUUCCUCCCUA